rnacentral:SRP_RNA from 1 species
GCCAGGCGCGGUGGUGCAUGCCUGUAGUCCCAGGUACUCGGGAGGCUGAGGCAGUAGGAUCGCUUGAGCCCAGGAGUUCUGGGCUGUAGUGCACGCAUUAUGCUGAUUGGGUGUCCGCACUAAGUUCGGCAUCAAUAUGGUGACCCCCCAGGAGCAGGAGGCCACCAGAUUGCCUAAGGAGGGGUGAACCAGCCCAGGUUGGAAAUGGAGCAGGUCAAAACUCCUGUGCUGAUCAGUAGUGGGAUUGCACCUGUGAAUAGCCACUGCACUCCAGCCUGGGCAACAUAGUGAGACCCCAACUCU